AAGGGUAUAGCUCAAUGGUAGAGCGCCUGCUUAGCAUGCAUGAGGUCCUGGGUUCGAUUCUCAGUACCUCCA
rnacentral:tRNA from 1 species